GUGAACGCUGGCGGUAGGCCUAACACAUGCAAGUCGAACGGCAGCACAGUAAGAGCUUGCUCUUACGGGUGGCGAGUGGCGGACGGGUGAGGAAUACAUCGGAAUCUACUUUUUCGUGGGGGAUAACGUAGGGAAACUUACGCUAAUACCGCAUACGACCUACGGGUGAAAGCAGGGGAUCUUCGGACCUUGCGCGAUUGAAUGAGCCGAUGUCGGAUUAGCUAGUUGGCGGGGUAAAGGCCCACCAAGGCGACGAUCCGUAGCUGGUCUGAGAGGAUGAUCAGCCACACUGGAACUGAGACACGGUCCAGACUCCUACGGGAGGCAGCAGUGGGGAAUAUUGGACAAUGGGCGCAAGCCUGAUCCAGCCAUACCGCGUGGGUGAAGAAGGCCUUCGGGUUGUAAAGCCCUUUUGUUGAGAAAGAAAAGCAGCAGGUUAAUACCCCGCUGUUCUGACGGUACCCAAAGAAUAAGCACCGGCUAACUUCGUG
rnacentral:rRNA from 1 species